rnacentral:tRNA from 1 species
GGCGGGGUGGCAGAGUGUGAUGCCGUGGCCUGCAAAGCCGCGUACGAUGGUUCAAUUCCAUCCCCCGCCU